CACGACACUGUUUCAAGCUUAGGAAUUGUGAUUCUGUGAAGCUUAUCCUAAUUAUCCUCUAAGGAGACUCCAGCUGCCCCUUCCUGCCCCAUGUCCUGCUGCUGGGUCCUUCUGUGGCUGCGGAAAGAGAAAAUGCUCCGGUUCAGACUUUGGACUGCAUGCUGGCAGAGCAGGGAGCAGAGACAUGCCCUGUAAUGCUGAGUACCCUCAGGGUACACUGUGCUUAGCUCAGGUCACCGCUCUGCAAUGAUACUGCACGUGAAGAAGGAAGUUUACAGAAAGUGAGGAUGUAAAGAAUGAAAGAGUGAAGUCUGCUAUUUUCAGUCUAUGAACAAGAGCAAGGGGAAAAGAUCAUCAGGAUCCUUUCAACUGUGUCUCCUUGAAGUGAGUGCAGGAAACAGAGCCGUGUCCCAGGAGUGCAAAUCUAAGCUGUACUGCAGAGCAGCGAGGCACUGGCCCGUGGAUCCUGUGCUGUGAUGAGAGCACCCAGAGACUGCAGAAAUUCUCAGGGCUGUGCACAAAGGUUCUGCCAAAUCACUGCUGUGCUCGCUGCUGUCUGUCACCAGCCUCAUCCCUGAUGCUCCGGGUCAUGGUCAGUGCUGCAGGUGUGCCCACAGCCACCAACCUGACUGAGAAAACUAAAGACAGAACACUGGUGUGGUUGUUCCUGUCCUGCUCUGUGAAAUAUGGUCCCAAACAAAAGCACAUGGGAAAAGAACUUGGUGUUAAAUGAAUAGUACAGGUAUCUGCAGGAGAUAGAUGUGAGGUUUCUGUAUUAAAUUCCACUUAAAUUAAGAAAAA